rnacentral:rRNA from 2 species
UUAGGUUAAGUUAGGAAGGGCGCAUGGUGGAUGCCUUGGUACUAGGAGCCGAUGAAGGACGGGACUAACACCGAUAUGCCUCGGGGAGCUGUAAGUAAGCUUUGAUCCGGGGAUUUCCGAAUGGGGCAACCCAAUAGUUUUAAUCGACUAUUAUCCGCAUCUGAAUUCAUAGGAUGUGUGAAGGUAAACGUGGGGAACUGAAACAUCUCAGUACCCACAGGAACAGAAAGAAAAUUCGAUUCCCUGAGUAGCGGCGAGCGAAACGGGAACAGCCCAAACCAAGAAGCUUGCUUCUUGGGGUUGUAGGACUGAACAUUUGAGUUACCAAAGAGCUUGAUAGCUGAAGGGCCUGGGAAGGCCAGCCAGAGAGGGUGACAGCCCCGUAAGUUAAAUCAAACUCCCUCAGUUCAGGAUCCUGAGUACGGCGGAGCACGUGAAAUUCCGUCGGAAUCCGGGAGGACCAUCUCCCAAGGCUAAAUACUACCUAGUGACCGAUAGUGAACCAGUACCGUGAGGGAAAGGUGAAAAGCACCCCGGAAGGGGAGUGAAAUAGUUCUUGAAACCAUGUGCCUACAAGAAGUCAGAGCCCGUUAAUGGGUGAUGGCGUGCCUUUUGUAGAAUGAACCGGCGAGUUACGUUCGUAUGCCAGGUUAAGUUGAAGAGACGGAGCCGAAGCGAAAGCGAGUCUGAAGAGGGCGAAUUAGUAUGCGGAUGUAGACCCGAAACCAAGUGACCUACCCAUGUCCAGGUUGAAGGUGCGGUAAAACGCACUGGAGGACCGAACUCGUGUACGUUGAAAAGUGCUGAGAUGAGGUGUGGGUAGCGGUGAAAUUCCAAACGAACUUGGAGAUAGCUGGUUCUCUCCGAAAUAGCUUUAGGGCUAGCCUCGGAAUUAGGAUCGUGGAGGUAGAGCCACUGUUUGGACUAGGGGCCCGUCAUGGGUUACCGAAUUCAGAUAAACUCCGAAUGCCAUCGAUUUAUGUCCGGGAGUCAGACGGUGAGUGAUAAGAUCCAUCGUCGAAAGGGGAACAGCCCAGACCACCAGUUAAGGUCCCUAAAUAUAUGUUAAGUGGAAAAGGAUGUGGAGUUGCAUAGACAACUAGGAUGUUGGCUCAGAAGCAGCCACCAUUUAAAGAGUGCGUAAUAGCUCACUAGUCGAGUGAUCCUGCGCCGAAAAUGUACCGGGGCUUAAACAUAUUACCGAGACUGUGGAUGCCACCAUUAGGUGGCGUGAUAGGAGAGCGUUCUAAGGGCGACGAAGGCAGACCGUGAGGACUGUUGGAGCGCUUAGAAGUGAGAAUGCCGGUAUGAGUAGCGAAAGAUAGGUGAGAAUCCUAUCCACCGUAUGACUAAGGUUUCCUGGGGAAGGCUCGUCCUCCCAGGGUUAGUCGGGACCUAAGCCGAGGCCGAGAGGCGUAGGCGAUGGAUAACAGGUUGAGAUUCCUGUACUAGUUAAACUUGUUUGAACAAUGGAGGGACGCAGGAGGCUAAGGAAUGCACCCGAUUGGAAGUGGGUGUCCAAGCCGUAAGUCUGAAGUCGAGUCAAAUGCUUGACUUCUUAAGGACAAGCGGUGAUAGGGAGUGAAAUUUAAGUAACGAAGUUCCUGACGUCACGCUGCCGAGAAAAGCUUCUAGUUAGAGUUUAACUACCCGUACCGCAAACCGACACAGGUAGUCGAGGAGAGAAUCCUAAGGUGAGCGAGAGAACUCUCGUUAAGGAACUCGGCAAAAUGACCCC